AUGCAAGUCGAACGAUGAGGCCCUUCGGGGUACAUCAGUGGCGGACGGCUGAGUAACGCGUAGAUAACGUGCCCUGGACUGGGGGAUAACACCGGGAAACCGGUGCUAAUACCGCAUAAGUUGCUGGUUGAAAUACUGGUAAUUAAAGAAUUUCGGUUCAGGAUCGGUCUGCGUCUGAUUAGCUUGUUGGUGAGGUAAAGGCUCACCAAGGCAAUGAUCAGUAGUUGGUCUGAGAGGAUGACCAGCCAGAGUGGGACUGAGACACGGCCCACACUUCUACGGAAGGCAGCAGUAGGGAAUUUUGCGCAAUGGGCGAAAGCCUGACGCAGCAACACCGCGUGCGGGAUGACGGUCUUCGGAUUGUAAACCGCUGUCAGCAGGGAAUAAUAAUGACUGUACCUGCAAAGGAAGCAUCGGCUAACUACGUGCCAGCAGCCGCGGUAAUACGUAGGAUGCAAGCGUUGUCCGGAAUUAUUGGGCGUAAAGAGUUCGUAGGCGGUUGCCUAAGUCUGUUGUUAAAGGCCUGAGCUCAACUCGGGUAUGGCAAUGGAUACUGGGCGGCUAGAGUGUGGUAGAGGUCACGGGAAUUCCAGGUGUAGCGGUGAAAUGCGUAGAUAUCUGGAGGA
rnacentral:rRNA from 1 species